rnacentral:rRNA from 1 species
UACAGAGGUGGCAAGCGUUGUUCGGAAUUACUGGGCGUAAAGUGUGCGCAGGUGGCCGCGCAAGUCGAGUGUGAAAUCCCCGGGCUUAACUUGGGAAUUGCGCUCGAAACUACGUGGCUCGAGUAUGGCAGAGGAAGGUGGAAUUCCACGUGUAGCGGUGAAAUGCGUAGAGAUGUGGAGGAACACCGAUGGCGAAGGCAGCCUUCUGGGCCAAUACUGACGCUCAUGCACGAAAGCGUGGGGAGCAAACAGG